GACAUAUGUUCUCCCAUGCCUGAGGUAUUUUUUUUUGCCAUGGUUUGUAACAAGCAAGCGCUAGGAAGACAUUUGCAUCUCCUCAUCGGAGACAUUUGAGGGAACCUGCUGGCUAUGGAGCUCCCGUCCAGUUCACGGAUCUCUUGGAUCGCCUCCUCCUGCCCUGACCUCGGGGGUGGCAGGGCUGUUUCCCACACUUUUCUCCUCGCUGCUCGGCACCUUUGAGGCCUCUCCUCCUUCCUCAGGGCCCUCGAGCGUUCCCCGAGGGCUCAGCGGGCCCGGCCUCCCCUCAGGGCGGGCGGCCCUCAGCGCCGAGCCGCCACGGGCCGAGCAGAGAGUUCCCAGGGCACUUUCGGGACUUCAGUGACGUGAAAAGUGCACAGCUCAAGAAUGGCAAAACUUGUUUCCCUCGAAGAUGUUUUCAGAAUGCUAGAGGCUGCAAUGGAAAGAAUCACUGACACAAGUUUGGCAUGCUUUUCUGUAAGCAGUAGAAGAAAACUCUGCCUGCAUUGUAGGCAUGAUAAUCAGCAUAUCCCAUGGGUAGGAGUGUGGGAGGCUCUGGACAUUUUCCAAUACUCUCAUGAGCGUCACUACUGAAGUAAGAAUAAUCAAGAAGAAACAAUUAUUUCAAAGACAAUAUCAUUUUCUUUCUAUCUAUCUUAGGGAAGAUGAACAGUAGGAGAUAGAAAAUGUGAUAGAUUUCAAUAUGCAUCAGGGUCAGCAAAGAAAACAGCCAUAAUUUUCAAAUGAAACUAUGUAAAGUUCCUCAGUGAGGUUUAUUAUUUGAAAAUGUUACCUUCUCCCAAACUUACUUCCAGGUUGAACCUUGUUUCAGUCCUAAAUCUGUCUAAUGUGCUGCAGAUAUAUUCAAAUUAUGUUUAUCUGCUGUAAGAAGGCAAUUCUAAAUGCUGCUCAACAAAUCAAACAAGUAUUAAGUAGACAUACAACAAUUUAUGUUGUAUAUUUAUAGAGCUCCCAGAAGAACUGACUAUAAAAUCAUUCACUGCACUUAAAAUUAAAUUUGAAACACAGUUUUUUGUAAAGAGACUUUUGGAAAGAAUUUUCAAAGAAUCCAGAAAGUUCAGCUUCCAGGUCCUAUCUUUUGAUUUUCUAAAAACUUCUGCCCAUCCACAGUAAUCUAGGCCUGGUCACACAAAGUUACAGCAGUCUUAAUAUCACAUUUAUUCUCAUAACCCAGCCAUAGCAGUCCUUUCUGUCCCAGAAAAGAUAAAGACAAUAUUACUUAUUCUAUAGUAAAUGAUCAGCAGUUUUUUUCCUGAUCCCAGCAUUGCAGUGUUUUGUAAGCAAGAGUACAAUGAUUUUCAGCAUAGCCAUGUGACAGCUGCAGAAUUUUUGUGUGUUAAACUAGCCGCUAAUUAGGAGUAAAGAGUUUUCUUGAAGCUGUUCAAACUCUUAAAAUUGACUGUGCCAAGAUCCAUUGUCCAGAUAUUCCUGCUCACUUCAAGGGAAUAACAGCAGAAACUGUACUGCAGACACACCAGUACCUGAAAAUUAUAGGUUAGGAAAGACACCAAAGCUUUCAUUAAUAGAAUUGUAGAUCUCUGAGGGAGAACAGCACAGCCAGGUGUGGAGGUUCUGUGUGCUUACCCCUGACAUGCAACCACUUAGCAUUCCUGAAACAUGGGCACUAGCAGUAUCGCUCCACAAUUAUGAUGCCCAUUUUCGUGGUCAUGUUUUUGUUCACCCUCCUGAUGGCAAUACUUUCAGUCAGAGGUGUGGAAUAACAUGAGCAGUGUGUGCUCCUACCCUCAGGAGCAAUUUUCCUUUUUUUUUAUUUGUAUAGUCAUAUGCACUAAAAGGAUGUGAAAAGACUAUUAUUAAACUACCCUUAAAUAUGUUUGAUGACACCACAUGCUGACUCAGAAAUUCCUUUCCUCCAAGGCCAUUUAAAGCUGAGGGUCUAAUUGCAAAUGUUUUAUUACUGUGUUGAUAAAUGUACCGUAUCAUUCAUUCCUUUUCAGAAAAAUUUCAUGCAGGCCUUUUCUAAUACAAUGUUUUAAAGAUCAAACUCAGUAUAUCCAUUUAGAAGAGCAAUCUCAGCUCUUAGCUGCAGUAAAAGUAAUAAUAAUAACACUUACUGUACUUUACAUCUUCAAAGCACUGUAUGGGUAUUAAGCAAUUUGUUUCUCUUGGCAAGGAUUUUAGUUUGCAUUGGACAGUAAGUAGCAGCAGGUACUUUGUUUCUUCUUUUUUCUUUCCUUCUUUAUUUUUUCCUUCCUGUCUUAUUCCCCACAGGCUAGAAGUGUGUCACUUCUUGUUUAUGGGAAUUCUAGAAAUUCCUUACUGGUGCAACUGAAUGGUUUGAAUUUGCUUUUACCAUCCAAAGCAAUCCAUCAGAUUCCUAUUAUUUGUGAGAUAUUUCAGGAACAGAGAGAAGAGUCAACUUUCUUUUGAUGCCUGCUCUGUUGCCGUAACAUGGAGCUGUCCUGGUUAAGUUUCACAAGGAAAUAUCGUGGGUUUGUUUGUUUUUUUUUUUUCCCUAGCUCAAAUGUCCUUAUUUACUAUCACAACUAAUAGAACCAGAAUAAGCAAGAAUCUUGUCUUUUGCAAAUGCUGGGCUAGAAAAUAAUGAGUGCGGUCCCAAGGAUGAUGUUUCCACAAAUACAAGGAUAAGCAUUAUUGUUCUUAAUGUUUUGCAAAGUAGCCCAGUGAAACAGGUCUUGACAUCCUUGCUUUCCAUGGGAGACUACCUCCUUUCUAGGUGGCAGGGGAAAGUGCAAGCAAAAGAGCCAGUUCUGCUUAGAACUGAGGGUCAAAGGUACAGUAACUGAGAUCUGCAGAGCCAGAGCUUGUCACAGCAGCAAUGAGACUUUGCCAUUCCAGAAGUCAGUUGUACUUCAAACUUAUUGCACUGCCAUUCCACCCAGAAACUGCUACAGUCUCCAUUCCUCUUUGCAGCAACUCUUCUUUCUGUAAAUGCUCAGCAUUUUAAAGUGCUCAUGUCCUUGAUAUUUCUAAUUAAAUCCCAAGGAGACUGAGGAGUCUGCAGAUGUAGCAAGCAUUAAUUCAGUGGUCUCUGUUGUCAAAAAAGCAGUCAGUGUUUAAGUGCAUUACAGACAUUUAUCUUUUACUUAUUCAGGAAACUAUUUCCAUAAGCUUGUGACAGGAACAUUUUCAAUAAAUAUUAAAAUAAAAUCACUGGAGCAGUUUGAUUUGUGGAAAUUCCCCAAAAUUGAGAAUUACCAACAAACAGAGGUGCAAUCUCACUUCUAAGUUGUAUGAACAUAGACGUGAAUCAUAUUCACAGCAGCUGGGAAUGUGCUGUGACUUGGUGUUGCUUCACUGUCCUCACUUCCUAUCUCCUAACAGCGCGUGACCUGGAAGUGCUCUGCCACAUGCGCCUUCCCCAGGGCUGCAUGGAUAUUUCUGCAGAAGCAAUUCUGAAGGGCUAAAAACCCAGCUCUCCUCUUCCACAACCAGUAGAUCUGGAGAGACCAGUCCUUGCCCAGUGAUCAGCUUGACCUUUGCCGGUACCACUGAACAGUGCUCCAGGAAGAAGCAGGCUGAUAUUUUGCCAUAGAGACAGCACUUUUCUGUCACACAACAAAAAAAAGACAUUAGCUCCUUAGAUGCCCAAGUCAAUCAUCUUUGAUUCAGACAAGCUUUUCUCUUGAGAAAAUAACAUGCACAUCGUUUAUGUUUCCUAUUAUAUCUAGAAAUAUAUUCUGAAUUCUCCUUUGAAGGCUUCAGUAGCUAUAGAUUAAGUUGCUGACAAGAAAUUAAGAAAGUGGAUGGUAGGACUUGCUAGAAGAAAUUAUUCAGCUGAGGACAGAACACAAGACUUCAAGGUCUGAAAGGGUGAAGCAGAACUGUUUAUCUCUCAUGCCACAUAGAGAAGAUUUCUGAGCUGAUUUAUCGCUUAGCUUUUGAAAGAUCAACACAGUCAGAUAGAAAAAAAAUUCACUGUUUUCUUUUCUUCUUUCCAGAACUAUAGACCUGUAUUUCAAAAGCCAUUGUUGAAGUGGAGGAUUAGAUGAAAAGGUUGAUCCCUGACUCAAUUUUCAAGGGCAGGUCUCAUGCUACUUAACCCAGGAAUUUCCCCAGUUUUCUGUUGCAUUCUAUGCUGCCAUCAUCUGGCUCUUUCUAUAAAACCUGACAUUUUCUAAAUCUCAGUUAUUUCCAGGCCUGAAUUUCUCUUUGGGUAAGAAUCUACAAUGUUUUUCAUGAUGAUCUCUCACAGUAUGAAUUUACCUUUUCUCAAACAGCAAGCAUCCCUCUGCAGCUUCCACUGCCAAGAUAUUUACUCAGACUCUGGGUGGGACAUGCAGCUCCCUUUGCCUAACUGAGCUCUCAAGAUAGAGGGAAAAUAUUAAUUCGUGUGUCUGUUCAUACUCCAGCAUACCAUUCUGAUUCUAAAUCUCUUCAAUCACCCAGCAGAGAUUUCUUGAAAGCAAGCCAGUUAUUUCUAGCAUGCCAGCCACCAGCAUCUUGACUAUGCCCUUCUAACUCAGGGAAUGCAGACAUUUGGUCAUGGAAAACACAUCUCCUCCUACAGUAAAAGAGUGUUACCAACUCUCCCAGUGAUUUACUUAAAUAUAAACAGGUUGUUUACUUCAAGGAAAAUCUUAUCUUCUGCCUGAUGAGACAAUAAUAAGAGGUGACAGAAGCUUUCCAAUCAGCUAACACAGAUCCAAGGCCAUGCUGCUUCCAAGACAUCACAACCUUCAUCUCAUUCUCGAAUGUCUGGCAACCAGAGUACUGUGAAAGGUUCAGAAACAUUCAUCUGGCUAAACUCUGGAUUUCUGAUGGCAGGUAAAACUCUGAGGGAACUGUGAAAGCACUGGAACUAAUACAGACAUGGGGAAGAACAAUACAUACAAUAAACUUUGCUUCAUCUUUAGAUUGCAGCAUACCACUCUGAGGAAAGGCUUUUCCUGGAGCAUUUCCAAUCCUUGGCUUUUUGUCUACUCUGAUCUUCCGAGAAGACUCUGUGCAUGCCAGGCAAAAGUCUGUCUAGCCAAACAUGCUCAGCUGCUUUGUCUUCCUGUUAAAGGAUUCACCUAACCUGUUCUGUAGGUAACAAGGACAGGAGAGCAAGAUUGCCUCUCUGCUGCCCAGCCACACCCCAAUUCCAAGUGCAGAGCAGAAGGAUGCUACAAAGAAGAUUUCUGUCAUACAUGGAACUGCAAAUAGGCAAGCACAGCACAUCUCCUUGUCACAGCACACAUCAAUCAAAGCAUGGAGUUCCUGAUAGGAUGCUAAUCAAUCACCAUAGGGAGACAGGAGCAUGGGGAGACAUUCCAAUAUGUUUUCCUUCAUUCUUUUUCCUGAAACAGGAGAGGCAGGUUAAAUAAUGCUCUGCUGGAGCUUGUGAUGCACAUUUUUCAGGGUAUGGGAAUUAUUGCAUAUAAAGGAGACUAUGAGGCCUGUAAAUUAGAAUGAACAAGUCUUGGGGCAAACCAGAAAGAAAAAGGCAUAUUUACUUAGGGACUAUAAGCAGAGAUGAACCUAAAAAGAGACAAGAAGAUCGGAAACUCAGUCUUAGAAAUGAUAAAAAUGUCUGCUUGGUUUUAAUUUCCACAUCCAAGUCCUGAGAAAAAUCUACAGAACCAAAACCAAAAUUAAAUAGAUGUUUAUUUAAUGAACAAAGCAAAACCAUGCCUAAUAUUUGGAUAUGCAGAAGUGACCACUUAUUUUACCUGCUCACUUCAAAUGACAGGUGCUGAAACUUACAGAUUCUGUAUUUGCUAUUUAUUUUUGUAAUGACAGAAGAGAAGUGGGACAAAGUGGCUGGACAGCUGUAUGAAACCUCCAUUCUGAAUUCAAAUCUGAAUUGGACCUGAACCAAUACAUGCAGGUCUUGAGCACCACUGCAUGCUUCCCUUAAAAACCUUCACUGCUCUGAAUCCUGGAUGAAUGUCUCCUUAUGCAUCCUGGCAGAACCGAGCUGAGACUUUCAGACCCACUUGAGAACUUCCAGAAGUGGAACUGGGCUCCCAAGGUUUAAAAGCAGCAUCAAUCCUAAUGAAGCAACACAGAAAGUAAAUAUGUACCUCUAAAAGUACUCAUAUAAGCACAAUUAAAUAUUGGAGGCUUGAGGAAACACCUUUCAUACAGUUGCUGGUAGUAGAAAUACAGACAAGCCCUAAAUCGGCCCUAUAUAAUAUUGUAUUUAUUUCUUACGCCACUACUUUUCAUAGCCUUGACCUGUGUAACUGUAGAGUAAGAAAAAAAAUAAAGAAGCAAACCACAUAGAAAUACGUGCCCCAUGUUCCUCACUCAGGGAUUAAACAAAACAAAGAAUGUUUCAUUUCAAUUUUCAAGCAGGCUCUCUAUGCUUCUGAAGAGUGCUGAUGCCCUGUGAUUUCUGAGCAAGACAGCAUUAGGACUGUACACACUGUAUUCCUCCUUGCUUUAUUAAUAAAACAAUAAGGAACUCAGUGGUGCAGAAGCAACUGAACAUGCUGCUAUGAAGGAGACCUCAAAGCCCACUCAGCUGCUUCACUGGUGUAUAUUAAAAUUAAUGAGUUUCUGCUGCAGAAAGAAAGAGGUGUCCUUACAGGGGAAUGAGAUCUAUGAUCUUUAUAUUGCAGCACAACCACUGAGAAGCACAGAAAUCUGCACAGCUCCAUCUCAGAUUUCUUUUUACAGGGGGAAGGCAAGGACAGGCUGAAUACACUUGCUAUACCUAUUGAAAGAGGGGAAAGGAGAGUUUUUCAUUUGCAUCUUAAGAACCUUCCCACUAGUAAAAACUGGAUCAAAAGCUCUCUCACUACCCCCACCCCCAUUUUUAUAGCGAAGAGAGAAAAGCAUUGGCAAUAUUGAAUGCCAGCCAGCAGCUGAGGCUGUUAACUCAGCCAUUAUAACCACAAUAUUUAAUAGCUGUCAGUUAAAGAUCCCUGAUAUUUAUACAGGAGAACAUAUAUAUCUGUAGGUCAGCACAUUUCAUUAAUAUUUUUGUCUAUGACACCCUUCACAUUGGUUUCAAGCUUUUAAUGCUUUCCAGUUAACAAAGCAAAAUUUUGAAGCAAAUAUUAGGUUGGAAAAUAUUACAAUUUUUUAAAUGUUGUUUCAUUAAGGUGGCUCAGUUUUAUUUAAAAUUCUUCAAGGCUCUCAUUUAACUGCAAACAGGAGUUAGUAACACACAGCUACAAUAGCAUCUCUGUCAAAUUUAUUUCCUGCUUAAGAGCUCCAAUGGGAAACAGAAGUUACUAGCAUGUUUCAUAUGUAAAGCACAUCAAGUAUUUUGUGAGCCCAGUUCAAGCCACUUGUUUGGACUGAAGUUGUAACUGGAGAGUACUUUUACCACAGAUCAUCCUAAUUCUAUAGAAAAAUUACCUAAAAUCUUAAGGAAGUUGAUUUUCUUAACACUUCUUUUUCUUAGGUGCUGGAGAUACAUCAACCUCAGAUAUACUAAUGAAUGCUAGCUUCAAAUAUAGUUUAAAACUACAAGUGCUAAAUCAUGGUAAAAUUUAGAAAACCAGGAUCAACUCAAAAGUUCCCUGAACUGUCCUAUAGGUACCAGGUAUUCCCAUUUAAUGAGGAUAUUUGAUCUCAGUGUAUUCAGAUUUUAUUUUUAUGCACUUUGUGUUCCAGGAGUUCAUUGCAAUCUACAGGGACCUGCCACAGAGCAGGAAAAAAAGAGGUGGGGAGAAGGUGGGAAGAGGACAGACAACACACAGGAUAGACAGGACCAAACGAAAACACCAACCAACAAAGAAACAGAAAAUACCCACACCAAACUCAGAUUUGAGGAAGCAUUAGAAAUUCAAUUUACUAAUGUAUGGCUAUGAUUUAUACCUAAAAUCCUUACUGUGUCACUUGUGUAGAGCUUAGUGUUUUCCACAGCAUAUCUACAUCUCAAGCCUGCAAAUUGCUUCUGUUCUAAUUUAACCAACUUCAGCCUAUUAAUAAUAUCAUAUAAAGGGCAGCACUUUGUUUAUCUCAUUGAAAUCCAGAAAUUUGCUGCACUGCCCUGCCAUUAAGUCCCUGUCAGUCCAGAAGCAUUCUAUUGGGACUGCAUUAGUUCAUUAUUGAAAUAUACCUUUCUUUUAGCCUUACUUGAGUCAAGCUUUAUCAAAAACAUACUACAUGAAGAAAAAUGGUAUCUGAAGUUCAACCUCCAUCACUUCUGCUUUGGAGAAGGUUUUUGGAAAAGCAAGAAAAAAUACAGAAAUUAAAAUCUGUCCAAGAAGACUCCAGAACUGGUUAUUUAUAUGACAUAAACAGAGGAUGAUCUAUUUUGUUACUUGCAAAUCUCCCUUUGUGUCUCUUUCCUCUCCCCUACUUUUGUAUAUCGGGAAAAUUUGAAGUUAAGCUCCAGAAAGUACCUGGGGAAUGCUCUGAUUCUGGGCAUAAUUUGAACUCAAACACAGCCAAUUCCAGCUUGUCCAGUUUAAGCAAAGCAGAACCUCAGCACUGAACAAUCUGAUAUGUAUACAGUAUAAUCUCAGACUGGGCUCUGUCAGAGAAUGUAUUUCCUUCCUUCUUCCCUCCUAUUAUAGAGAAGGGCAGUUGGGUGUGUGGCCCCACUGAAGCGUAAUUUUUAAGAGAAUUUUCCACAAGUACUUUCAAGGCCAAAGAGUCAGAGACCACCUCUGCUAAAAGGAACCAUGACAACAAGCCAGAGGCCACGUACACAUCAGCAAGGACUGGGAUUCACUAGAAACAGAGCUGUGCAAUGAGACAGUUGGUGCUGAUGACCUGACUUGCUACCAUGAAUAUUUAAUUAGGGUUUAUGUCAAAAAAGAACAAAUCUGGUCCCACUAGGGACUGAAUGCAGUCAGUGAGCAUUGAAAAUGCUCUUGGAAAACAUUAUCCUUUCAGUUUAAUCUGAAAGAGAGCCAAUAAAGCACCCCAAGACUGCUCCAUGGUAUGAAUCAAAGCACAUUUACCAGGCACAAGCAGAUUAGCUUCAGAAGCACAUUCCUGAUCUGAACUAAACUACUAAUCUAGACACACUAUAAAUUCUUCUGCAUGAGAUCCUAACAGCACAAUAUACAGAGGGAAAAAAUUAUUUUGUAUUAUGCUCAGAGAUGCACCCCUGAAAACUGGAAUCAGGAUCUUCCAAAGUAAAGUGAUUCUAUGUAAAAGCCAAACAGAUGGGCAGGCAAUUUUUUUAAAAUCAAAGAUAAUGGAAGGAGGCAAUUUAAGGUAAUUUUACUCCCUUUAAGAGUAAAAAUUGCUUUUACAUUUCAAUCAAAUGAGAGCAUCUAUGCAACAUAAGUCAGAGAGCUAAGCACCAAGCGGUGUCUCCUCUACUGUCUUGGAUGUUCCUCCAGUGACAUUCAGCUGGCAGGAGAAAAAUCAGGGUUUUUUACAGGCUUAAGACCUUUGACACUCUCAGCUUUUUCUGUU